rnacentral:misc_RNA from 1 species
GGAGAACUACUUUUUACAUUAUCAAUUUGGGAUCUAAAAAACAAAACAAGUAAUUCAUAAUUUGGUCAAUCUGAUACAAAAAAUAGGUUAUAUUUAUUAUGACGUACCGAAACGGAGGGAUAAACUCCAUUCGGUAACAAAUAGAACCUAACACUAAUACCUACGUAUAACAUGAUAGUUAGUUAGCAGCAACAUACUAAAAUCCAGCGUAAAUUAAGUUUUAAAAUUUUGCAAAAAUUAAGAAACAAUUUCAAGGACAAAGGUGUAAAAAAUAACGUCANAAGGAUUAGGUCAAGUUACAUAA